GAGAGCUGCAUUCUGCUAGCCUAGUUAUACAGUGCCUUCCACAUGCCUGAGCAAAUGUGAACAAGCAUGGCCACAACCAUGGAUGUCAUUUCCGGAAGCAACUCUUCACAUACUUAUCAUCUUUCGGUAUAUUCUUUUGUCUGGUGGUUCAAGUAAGACUUCGUUUACGUCUCAUUGGUGCAGAUGAAUGGUUAAUAAGUUUCUCCAAGAUAUCUUGUCAAGUCUAAUCUAAUCCAAGCCUGCGUGUUCUGAUGCCUACCAUUUACUGCCAUCGAGAUAUUGUCGGCUCACACUGAUUGGACUGCGCUUUUUCUUGGGACCAUUAAGGGCUGAACAGACUGUGCCUCCAUUAUUGUGGAUUUCUGGCAAAAGUGUUAGUUGUAUACAAUGUUAUUUGAAGUUCCGUCUUGUUUUGCAGUCUUGCUGAAUCAGCCAUGAGAUCCUUGUUUAUUUGAAGUUCCGUCUUGUUUUGCAGUCUUGCUGAAUCAGCCAUGAGAUCCUUGUUUAGACGUACCCAACUCAUAUCUAUUGCCUGCUUGAUGGGCCCCAUAUUUAGAUUCCAGACAAAGGAGAAAAGCCUACUUCUUGGUACACUUAUUGAUCUUCUUGUCGAUGUGCUAACCAAAUAAUUAGCGUGUGAUUUACUUUGUUUGAAUGAUUUUGCUGCUUCAAUAGUACGAACUAUCUUGAAAGAUCUCACAUAUUGCUAUGCAGAUUUAUCUAGCUGCUACUGAUAUGAUAUGGUGCUGAUCUGUAACUGAUGAUACUGCCUCUUGUCCUGUGACCAUGUGAGAGUGGGGAGUGAUGAAGUGGCGGUCCUUGCGCGCAUGUGCAUGCAUGUGUCUACCGCCCCCUUUCUCGUUGCAUCUUUCAACUAUGUAUGAUGUAUCUGGCUUCUUUCUUCUUGUUGGAGAAUGGUGACUUGCAGAGGGAGUUCAUCCCCAUAAUGAGCCGGUGGAAGCGACGCCGCCAUUAUUCGUAAUGUCAUGGAUAAUGGCAGACCUCACAUGGGCAGUAUCAUUCAUGUAUGGGGUCAUACUGAUUGUAAUGUCUGGAGAAAGUCUGAGUAUAGUGCAAAUCCAAUCUGUUUAUCAGCCACAUUAUUAAUCAUUUUCUGCUUAACUGUGGCUAAAUUAUAAAGUUUGAGGGUUAAUUUCCUGUGGACCAUAGUCAGUUUUUAGAUUGCAAUCAGUGAAUCGGUUCCCUUCUGACUAGUCAUUUUCAUCAAGCUCUUACUUUUUGGAUUCUGUACUUUUUGUGUGGUCUUAUCUAAUUAUACUCCUUGUUGUUA